rnacentral:piRNA from 1 species
UAUCAAUGCCAAUAGUCUCUAAAUCUGGGU